GAGUUUGAUCCUGGCUCAGAUUGAACGCUGGCGGCAUGCCUUACACAUGCAAGUCGAACGGCAGCACGGGAGCUUGCUCCUGGUGGCGAGUGGCGAACGGGUAAGUAAUGCAUCGGAACGUAUCCUGGAGUGGGGGAUAACGUAGCGAAAGUUACGCUAAUACCGCAUAUUCUGUGAGCAGGAAAGCGGGGGACCUUCGGGCCUCGCGCUCUUGGAGCGGCCGAUGUCGGAUUAGCUAGUUGGUGAGGUAAAGGCUCACCAAGGCGACGAUCCGUAGCAGGUCUGAGAGGAUGAUCUGCCACACUGGAACUGAGACACGGUCCAGACUCCUACGGGAGGCAGCAGUGGGGAAUUUUGGACAAUGGGGGCAGCCCUGAUCCAGCCAUGCCGCGUGAGUGAAGAAGGCCCUCGGGUUGUAAAGCUCUUUCGCGAGGGAAGAAAUUGCACCGGACAAUACCUGGUGUAGAUGACGGUACCUUGAUAAGAAGCACCGGCUAACUACGU
rnacentral:rRNA from 1 species